AGAGAGAGACAUGCGCGCAUAUCAAUAAGCGGAGGAAAAGAAACUAACUAGGAUUCCCUCAGUAACGGCGAGUGAAGCGGGAAGAGCUCAAAUUUGAAAUCUUCAAGGUUCUACCUUGACGAAUUGUAGUUUAAAGAAGUGUUUUCUGUUGGAGUUUUGGUAAAAGUUCUUUGGAAUAGGACAUCAUAGAGGGUGAGAAUCCCGUAUUUGACCAUUAUUUUCAGCUGUGUGAUACACUUUCAAAGAGUCGGAUUGUUUGGGAAUGCAGUCCAAAAUGGGUGGUAAAUUUCAUCUAAAGCUAAAUAUUGGCGAGAAACCGAUAGCGAACAAGUACCGUGAGGGAAAGAUGAAAAGAACUUUGAAAAGAGAGUUAAACAGUACGUGAAAUUGUCAAAAGGGAAGUGUUUGACACCAGUGUUGUUUUCUCGAAAAUCAAUUAAAAAAGGCAGGAUUUUGUGUUGUAUUGACUUUAUCAGCUUUCUGCACUCUUUUCUUGUCUUUUUUAAUGCACUUUUCGUUUAAACAAGUCAACAUCAAUUUCUUUUGUUGUAAAAGGGUCAUUGGAAGGUGGCUUUCUUUUCGGAGAAAGUGUUUAUAGCCUUUGGCCUCUGCAAUCGGAGAGAUUGAGGUCUGCAGCGUAGAUCCUUCGGGGUUAGAUACAUUUGUGCUAAGUUAUAGCCUUUCAUAGACAACUUGUUGACUAUGAUCAGUCAUGUAGCUUACUCGCUUAUGCUAUUUUACCUACGCUUAGGAUGUUGAUGUGAUACUGCGAGCA
rnacentral:rRNA from 1 species